rnacentral:rRNA from 1 species
AGCUCCAAUAGCGUAUAUUAAAGUUGUUGCAGUUAAAAAGCUCGUAGUUGGAUUUCUGGCAGGGUGGCUUUGCCCUCUUGAUGAGUGUGCAAUUUUGCCCUUCCAUCCUUCUGUUAACUUUUGAGAGUUUAACGCUUUCCUAAGGGCUCAGAUAUUUUACCUUGAGAAAAUUAGAGUGUUUCAGGCAGGCUAGGCCGGAAUACAUUAGCAUGGAAUAAUGGAAUAGGACCUUAGCCUCUUCUGUUGGUCUGAGGGGUUAGAGUAAUGAUUAAUAGGGAUAGUUGGGGGCAUUAGUACUUAACUGUCAGAGGUGAAAUUCUCGGAUUUGUUAAAGACUAACUUAUGCGAAAGCAUUUGCCAAGGAUGUUU